CGUCGGAGCAUACUGAAAUGGGAAUACGGUGCGAAUCCGUAACAGUCACGCUGCUGUGUGGUGGACGAAAGCCGAGAGUGUCACUGGAGAGAAAUCUCUGGGAAGGCGGGCGAGUAGGUGGAAACCGAGUCAGAAUAUCUGCUGUAAUUGA
rnacentral:ncRNA from 1 species